GCAUUCAUUAUACACCACCAAACUGAGUUUACUUCAGGAAAGGGAAUCGCCAGUCAACUAUACAAUACUGAGGAAUAAUUAUUCUACUUUCACCGAAUAAGCGCAUUUUCAUUUUAUGAUUUUUGCAUUCAUCUUAUUAUUUUAUGAUUUAUUAAUUUGUAAUAAAAUUUUAUUUUUGGUU